CACCAGGUUGAUUCUGCCUGACGUGGACGCUAGUCUCAUAGAUUUAGCCAUGCAUGUGUAAGCGAACAAUAGGGAGCUGCGGACUGCUCAGUAACAGGCGAUUAAUUUAAUCUUUACAAACGGACAAACUCAGGAAACGGAGUGUAAUACGUAAAAGACGAAUUCUAAAAUAAAAAGAAAACGUUUUUAGCUUGAAUAAAGCGGUAAAGAAUAAGACGCCAACCCAUCAGUUAGUAAGUAGGGUAAGGGCCUAUUUAGACGAAUACGGGUACGGGGAAUUAGGGUUUGAUUCCGGAGAGGGAGCCUGAGAGACGGCUACCAGGUCCAAGGACGGCAGCAGGCGCGAAAAUUACCGAAGCUCAAAUAGAGGCGGUAGUAAUGAGACGUAAAAAAAUAAUAUAAGGGUAAAAAACUUAUUAAUAACUGGAGGUCAAGUCUGGUGCCAGCAUCCGCGGUAAUACCAGCUCCAGGGGUGUCUAUGAUGAUUGCUGCGAUUAAAAGGUCCGUAGUCGAAUUUAGAUAAUUGUUUGUAAUAUGUUAGAUAAAAUAAUAAAAAGAACAAUUAGUUAAAUGAAAGGAAUAGCAAGAGGUUGAUUAAUCGAGUAACGAGAGGUGAAAUUUGAUGACUUACUUGGGAGAAACAGAGGCGAAAGCGUCCAUC
rnacentral:rRNA from 1 species